UACAUAAUUUCUUUGGAAAGUUAGGUAAGUGUAUUUAUUUUAAGAGCAAUUGCUUAUAUAUCCUUGAAAAGCUUUAAACUUUUUAAUUUAUUUCUCUUAAAAGACUAAUAUUGAAAUUGUUCUUUUUACGUUCCAAUCUAUUUCUAAUAUAUCUAUAGAGUUAAAAUUUAUUAAUAAACUUUAUUAUCUCUAUAAAAUUACUAUUUUGCCAUUUCAAAUAUACCCUUUUGUCAUUACUGACUUUUCUUUUUUUUUUGAGAAAUAGGUAACACGCUAUCCGCUUCAUUUAAUAAGAAGAUGAAUUUAGCUACAUAGAGUAGGCAGUCAGGGCCUUUCAGAAUCACCGACUUUUCUUAUUUGCCCUUAAGUUAGGGGCAAAAAAAAUAUUUUAUUUUUUGGUCUUUUCAAAUAUACCCUUUUAUCAUCACCAAUAUUUCUUAUUUGUUCUUAAGUUAAGGACAAAAGUGGUAUUUUAAUUUUUUUUAACUGUGGUAGCUAUUUAACUUACGUUUAACCUAAGUUAACUUAACGGGUGGUAACUGUAGGGAUAUUUUGAAAUAACGAGAAAUAUAUGAAAAGUAUAUUGAAAAGAAAAAAAAAAAAGUAAGAAUAAAUAAAAUAUUUUUGAAGUUUCAAAAGGUAUAGAAGCAAUUAUUCUUUUAUUUCAAGUAGAAGUAUGUUAGGUUUAUUAAAUCUGACCAAAUACAAAUCAAAUAAAAUUGACAUAUUUAUUUAUAUAGAAAUUAAAUUUAUUACUAGCAUCAUACAAUUUCCUCAACUCUGUAUUUUAAAAGAGGGGUAGAAGUAUUAGAAAAUCAGAUAUCUGUUAUAAUACCAAUUAUUAUGGUUGAAAUUUUACAGAAAAAUUACCGCUGGUUAAGGUGGCAGAUCUCCAACAGAUCGAUGAUGCUAAAUAUAUACUUAUUUUGCUAUAUAUAUAUAUAGAAUUAACAUGCAAAGAUUUUUAAAGAAUAACUUGUAUAAGAUAUUUUGGAAGACGCAAAUCAAUCAUGGCACUCAGUGAUAUGGUGGCCAAGCAUAAUAAUAUGUAGAAUAUAUAGAAUUAACAUGCAAAGAUUUUUAAAAAAUAACUUGUAUAAGAUAUUUUGGAAGACGCAAAUCAAUCACGACACUCAGUGAUAUGGUGGCCAAGCAUAAUAAUAUGUAGUUUACAGACUAAUCCUAAUGCACGUAAAGAUUAAUUCUCAUAAAAGAAAAUUAAGGUACCGUUUGGUUCGGGUAUAAGCAAGAACUAGCUAUUACAGGAAUAGAUACAAGUAUGGAGAUAAGAAAAAUAAUGUUUGGAUGAAAAUUGAAUUGUUUCUGGGGAUAAAAAUAAUUUUAGAUAGUUUUAUAUAAAAAAUGAAGAUGUUGGUAGGAAUAAUCGAGAAUUACUAUUCUCGAAUAAAAAAUUAACGUUUGGAUAUAAAAGAAAGGAUAAGGAUCUAUUUCUAUUCCAAUUUCCUUACCAAACGUUGCAUAAAAGAAUAAAAUUUAAUAGUGGC
rnacentral:lncRNA from 1 species